rnacentral:rRNA from 1 species
UUGUUUCAAAGAUUAAGCCAUGCAUGUCUAAGUCCAAGCUGUGUCUGACACGGCGAGACCGCGGACGGCUCAUUAAAUCAGUCGUGGUCCAAAUGGGCCAGUGUUUAUUCUACUUGGAUAACUGUGGUAAUUCCAGAGCUAAUACAUGCAACUGAUAUCCCGACGACGUGUUUUGUUCUCUUGUAGGACUCUACUAGCUCUGACGGAUGCUUUUAUUAGACCAAACCGCCGAGAGUGACGGUAUCUCGUGUACAACUACUGUGCUCGUAGUGCCUCGCUUUACUCGUGUUGGGUGACUCCGGAUAACCUUUUUGACGAGCGCACGUAUCACUCUUUGAGUUGGACGGCGCUGCCACUUUCGAGUGUCUGCCUUAUCAGCUAUCAACCGUUCGUUAUGUGCGACCGAUGGCAUUGACGGGUAACGGAGAAUCAGGGUUCGAUUCCGGAGAGGCAGCCUGAGAAACGGCUACCACGUCCAAGGACGGCAGCAGGCACGCAAAUUACCCAAUCCCAGCUACUGGGGGAGGUAGUGACGAAAUCUAACGAUGCGGGCGCCCUUUCUAGGGCCCCGCAAUCGGAAUGAGCACUUUCUAAAAAACCUGUUGAGAACCUACUGAAGGGCAAGUCUGGUGCCAGCAGCCGCGGUAAUUCCAGCUUCAGUAGCAUCUAUUAAAGUUGCUGCGGUUAAAAGGCUCGCAGUUGAAGUUCAGUACUGAGCGCAGGUUAGGUGGACGUUGGAACGUGGGUAUUAAAGGUGUCGUGCGUACGGGCGUGCUUGCACGUACCGGCCACGCUCCUGUCUCACAAGUUUCCGUCCGUGAACAGCCUCCUCGCUUGCGUACAUAUGGGAAUUUGUCUAACGGAGUGUACGCGGUGCUCGCAUCUAGACGUUCGCGUCGAAAUGUGGAGGCUCGUACGUUAAGCUCCUUCGGUUUCAUAGUCACCUUGAGUAAAUCAGAGUGCUCAAAGCAGUCGUAGGGGCCUUGUGCCCUGUGAAAAGUCUUAACGGACUGACUUGGUUUUGCAUGGCAUGUCGGAAUACGACGUCGCGUGCUGGCUCAGAGUUCUUUCUGGUGGUGUAAGCCAGCCGCGACGUACUGAUUAAAAGGAUCGGUCGAGGGCAUUGGUAUUGCGGGGCGAGAGGUGAAAUUCUAUAACCCCCGCAAGACCUCC